GCUGCUAUAGUGUAGACCGGCCAAUCAUGCGAGCCUCUCACGCUCGCGACAGGGGUUCAAAUCCCCUUAGCAGCA
rfam:Candidatus Methanoregula boonei 6A8, complete genome.